CAAAUUUCUAUAAAGAAAAGUAGCUACUGUAUGUAAUUGCAUGAUUUCUAUAGUAAUCUAAAUUGUAUUUUAAUUUUCUUAUUUAAUGCAUGUUAAUUAUAAGAUGUAAUGUUUUGAAAAGAUGUGUCCCGCCGAGUUUCGUGCCGGUUCAUAUUGGGAUACCCUCCUCCAAUUGAGGGGGGAUUUCAAUCUUCUCGGGUCAGAGGUUGUAACGUUAUACGUUACAUGAAAGUACUAUUAUUUAAAUAAACUACAUAAAUAAAUGAAAAUACCACUUAAAACUAAUUUUACAAACUAAUGUUUUCAAUUUUAAACAUAAAAUUGCAACAAGUAUUCGUCGGCGCCGUUUUAGCGCUCUUCGAAAGAUUUCGUAAGCAACAUUUUAGCGCUCACGGUAACGAGUUCUUUUGUUUGUCGAAUAUACUUAUCGGGAGUUGCAUUAGCGGAUCGCUCCCACGAUUCCCGAACUGCACUCGAGAUAGAACACACGUCACACGGAUCAUCGGUCUCUGAUACGUACCUAUUUUGGAAAAUGUAACCGAUUUGAUAUAAUUAAUAUUCGUGUUGUCAUCUCUUAACGUUCCUCAAAGUGUUUAGCGUCGUAAAUACGUUAAAUGUUAUAACGUGUGUGUGAAUAAACCCCAAAUUGGGUAAGUGGUAAAUUUAUUAACGCAAAUGUAGUUCUACUUGCUAAAUAGAUAUUAAGAUAAUUCUAGUGUUUUUACUUUGCAUCAUCAAAUCAUUUCACGUUAAAUUCAUUAGUUUAAAUAUGAUUUUGCCCGAUCAUGCUGCUGUAACGGUAUUGCAUCAGAAUUUAUUUCCACCCUCAUUUUAAAAUUCUAAAUCCUUGCAUCAUCUUUACAAAUUGUAAUCUCCGACUCUGAUUGUGAACAUCCACGGCAUCACUGCUACAUUUUAGGUGCUUUCUUUUCCUGCCGUUUGCCGGGGAUGCUCACAAAUUACGUUGCCGGACUUUUUCCUUAUACAUUUGGAUGACGCGUUCCAGGGUCCAACGUUCGGGCUGCUAUUUUGGGUGGAGGAUCCACCGCAGCCACACAUACCACCAACGCUACUCUCGCCAGUAGAAGGGCCAGCACUACAUCAAGCCCCGGGCAGCCAAGUACAGUCGUCCACAAUUGCGGCGCCCGCGUACACCACCGACGGCACAACCCAGGCGAGAGUACCUAACCGCAAAAUGGAUAGGAUCUUUGUGUGAAUUUAUUAAAAAAACCUGCGACCCAUAUUUUUUGUUAAGUGGCCCGCGUAUUUCGGAUCAUUGUUUUUUUUAUUUUAUUUUAAAUUAAAUGUUGUUUAUUUUGCACGAA